rnacentral:lncRNA from 1 species
AUGGGAGGGCAGACAGGGAAGGAGCCAUGCUGCACCCUCGCGGAACCGGAAGGGUGCGCAAGCUGGGGAGCGUCAAGGGCAGAUCCAGGCCUUAAAGACAAACUGAAGCCCACAGAGCCUGAGAAGGGCAAGUGGAGAGAAACAUCAAGAACCCACCUCCUUCAACCACCAGCAGCGCUGAAAGCUGGAGGCUCAGUUUGGCAGACCACGCCCCCAGAGAAGAACCUCGGAAAGAGCGGGCGGAGACUCCGCCUACAGGCGAGAACAGUGAGGUCCGGUCUGGGAACAGGCGGUUCAGACAGGAAGCAGCAGGAGCAGCGUGAGCAGUCACUCCUGCAGGCAAACCGGAGCCUUCCGCCGCCGAGAAGAAUAUGCCCCGGGCUCACAACACCCACCCAGCAUUCAUCUUUCUCCCUGUGGUUUACAUUUCCAUGGCUCCGUCCCUGUCAGCCCAAGAGCCCCUCUGGCUGUUCAGAGCCCUUCGUCUUCACAGAAAGUCCCACGGUUGAUUUCCGAGCGAGGGCUCGAGCCCCAGCUGGGGGGCUGGUAGCCUCUGUCGCUGCCCUUGUCCUGACGCCUGUGGCCCGAAUCAGAGCUCUGCAGUUUUCCUGGCGAGUGUGAGGCUGCAGCCGUCUGCUCCGUGCCCUCCACCUGCGAGGUCCCAGCGAAGAGGACAGCACGGGCGUCCCUGAGCACCUUGGCGGUCCAGCUCUAGGUCCCGGGCAAACCUUCGCACCCAGCGCGCCGAGCCAAGACUGCUAUCUGCAGUCUCGGAGACGGCGUGGCACCCAGGGCCCCUCCAUAGGUAGACUUUGCCUUUCUCUGACCAAAGUAUUUUAAAAUUAAUUGUGUUGGUGCAUUUUGAAUGUGCAUAAUGAUCACACUCAUGGGGGGAGUUUGUACUGCACAUGGUACAUCUCGGUUCCUUUUUCCCUAACUUCUUCCCCUCCCUUCAACUCCCUUUCCCCCUCCUUGCUUACAAAAGCUGUUUCCCCUCUGUUCCUUCUGUUCUCCUUUUCUUCUCCCUUCUCCCCUCCCCUCCCGGGUCCCCUUCCCGGUUGAGCAUUUUCUUCCUAUUUCCCAAUGUCUCUUGCACAUUUUGGUCCUUGUUUCCACUUUCAGUUUCUCACGCCAGAGAGGCAGUGCAAUGUUUGCACACGUGUGUCCAGUUUACUCCAUGAAGAGCAUGGACUCUGAGCAAGGUAUCACAAAUGUCAGCUCAUUUAGACGAGAGCUUCUUGCCUCUUGCGCAUGACUCUUUUCCUUAGUCUGAUUUUUAACCCAAAUGUCUGGGUCGGUGUUACUUUGAUAUCAGUGAUAAUAUAAAAUAAAACUAGAGUUUUUUCCAAGUCCAGUUCAGUACUAUGCACAUAGUUCUUCAUGGAGAAAGCCCUCCUAGCCUUGAGAAGGCCACUGAGACUAAUACACUCUCCAUCUCUCUCUCUCUCUCCCUCUCCCUCCCCUCUCUCUCUCUCUCUCUCUCAGUUUUGUUCUUUUUGAGACAGGCUCUUGCUAUGUAGUUUAGGCUGGCCUUGAGCUCAUUAUGUAGCCUAGUAGCCUAGGCUGGCCUUGAACUUGUGAGUAGCCUCCUGCCUCAGCCUCCAGAAUGCUGGGUUACAGGCAUGUGCCGCUGU